rnacentral:tRNA from 1 species
GCCGGGAUAGCUCAGUCGGUAGAGCACGAGGAUUGAAAAUCCUCGUGUCACC